UCUCUAAGUCUGUAAGUAAAAAGAGUUAAACUGCACACUCACUCAAGUACUUUGUCAAAUAAUACAUACAUACGUCAUGCAUGAUAAAACCCACAAUAAAAACUUUGGUCCCACAUGAUUUGAAUGUAGAUUUUGGUUUGAGUUGUUUCUUAUAAAUGAGAUGAUCUAAUUCUCGAAUGUAUAUCUUAAUACACAGUUUUCUUAAAAUAGCUUACUGAUCUGGACAAAUGUGCACUUAAUGUGUGUUUUAUCAUACUCUGUCUUUAGUUCUGUAACUUGUAUCUCAUUCUCAUAAAGGUGUGUGUUUGCUUUAGCUACUUAAGAAAAUUAAUCUCUCUUUCUAAACUUGUAUAAACUAAAAACACUCAUCUCUUUUUCUCUUCAGGGGAAGAAAUAAUAUCUACAGAGAGGUUGCAACUUACCUGCGCUGAACAGAUGCUCCUCCUGCUCUUCACUAUUUCUCUGUCCUUUCUGUACUUCUGAUUUUUUCAAGCCCUCAAAGAAAAAUAAAGUACAAACUCAUCUUCAGCUUCACUUUUCUAGGGCAGUCGUCCAUGAAGUUUCUGUUAGAUUGACAAGCCUGCAGUCAGGGAGUGGUGGGGUCUACGUCUGACUGAGCGGUUAGAGACAGAGGGCCUGUUUAUUGUCCACAACAAGAGGUGUCCUAUUGGGGAGAGGAACCGAAUGUUUGCAGACAGGCUCUGGUGGACUUCAUUGUAGCAAGAGGAACCGAUAACCACAUUCAGUCCAUCAUCAAUGGACAAAAGUGUUCCAUCCAGAAAGUGCCUGUGCCUCGUUCAUUGAAGAUCAGGAGCAAACUGAUGUUCUCUACACUCACCUGACUUCAGUUCUGGACAGCACACACACACACACACACACACACACACACACAGUGACCAGAUCAGAUUCAUUAUGGAUGUCCUUUUAUCAGAGUCCAUCGUCUGUGCUCCUGCUGUUGUGGAGGCUGAGGAGAGAUUCCUGCGAGGACCUGUCAUCGACACAAGGUACUGUAAAGAUCCUAUAAAUGAAAAAAUGUUGAAACAUGACAUCCUGCCAUUAUUUAUAAAUAACCAUUGUUUCUACCACUAUGCAACUUUUGCUGUUUUAUUUAUUUUUAUCAGUGAGCGGGAGCACUUUGACAGCAGGAUAAAAAAACAAUUAAAGAAGAGUGGCAAGCCAUAUGAGAGUCAUCUACAGGAGUCAUGCUGUUAAGAAAUAACCAAGUCAUGGUGUUAAUAAAUAAUUUUUUUGUGAACAACAUUAUUGUCUCUUUCUUUUAAAUGACCCUUGGAAUUUUAGAAAAGGGUUAAAUUGUGUUUGUCUUCAUAAAAUGCUAUGUAGGACAUGUUUUGUAGCUGUAUGACGACCAGUUGUGAAUUGUACAACAGAUAUUUCAUUUAGGAUCCAUAUGAUUACACAGUACUGUAUAUCUAAUGGCCUAAAUAUGGUAAAUCUCUAAAUGUAACUUAAUAUAAAUUCACAACAUCAUAUAUCAGUCAGUCUCCUGUAUAUAAAAACAGUUUAUAAAUAAAUAUAAAUAAUACAUUUUA